rnacentral:rRNA from 1 species
GGAAGUAAAAGUCGUAACAAGGUUUCCGUAGGUGAACCUGCGGAAGGAUCAUUAACGUAUCUCUGACGGGGUUCGGUGCGCCCUGCUCCGGUCGACAACGGCCGUGCAGCGGGUUCCCGUCCCUGUUCACACCUCACAAACCCACUGUGAACCUUCACGGCGGAAGGGAGGCGACUCCCCGAGGCCGCAUACCAAACCCCAGUUGUAAAGAAUGUCGUGCGGACUUUGCGCCGCCUAAAACACAAAACAACUUUCAACAACGGAUCUCUUGGCUCUCGCAUCGAUGAAGAACGCAGCGAAAUGCGAUAAGUAAUGUGAAUUGCAGAAUUCAGUGAAUCAUCGAAUCUUUGAACGCACCUUGCGCUCCUUGGUAUUCCGAGGAGCAUGCCUGUUUGAGUGUCUUGAAGUCAUCAACCCCUCCCGUUUCGUGCGUGGAAGGGUUGGAUGUGGGGGCUCUGCUGCCGUGAGGCGGCUCCCCUCAAAUGCAUCGGUUGGGCCUGUGGGUCGAACUCGACUGGGCGUUGUACCAUCCUCGCUCGACAGAGACGUUCCCCUCCUGCGCCCUCCCCCGACCUGCCUAUCAGAGCGGCGGUCAAGCAACAAACUUUGAAAUCUGACCUCAAAUCAGGUAGGACUACCCGCUGAACUUAAGC